GGGGUUGUUUUAUUUGGGGCAAGAUGAGGGUGAUAGUCCGGGAGGCAGCUUUUCGGAGAGCUCUGAGGUACCGCUCCAAGGAGAUGGGGGAAGGGCACAAUACAGAUGUCAUUUGGGGGGGGAGGUGCGUGCAACCAAAGCACACGUUUUGCAGAAGGUCGCUGCUAGUCCCCUGAAGGCCGCUGCUGGUCACCAGGAGCAGACGUCACCACGGAGGAUUGUAGUGCUUUUGUAGGUACGAGGACAUGCGAGAGUUGGGCUCGUAAGAUCUUUUCCUGAAAAUUUCUAACCGUCUGAAGACCUGUCCUGCCAGUUGUCCCAGAGCACAGAGCCCCCACUCCCUGAGCUCCUUUCAGAGGCGUGGAGGGCGGUGGCUGCAGGGACUCGUGACUCAAUCCGUGCAGAGGCAGGUGGCGCGGGCUGGCCUCCCGCUCCCGCGAGGGUCCCCCAAGCCCGCCGGGGACGUGCCCACCUGGGAGUGGCAUUGCCUCGGUGCUCUCGGGAGCCCGCCCCCGACGCAUCCUGAACAGAGCCCACGUGGGGUGGCGUCCCUGCUGUUUAUCUCAGGGCACUCACCGGUAACACAGGUGACAGCCGUCCUUGCCCGAGACGUGGACGGGGUGCCGUCUGGGUGUCGAGUUCGUCCCCGAGCCGGGCAGAUGCCGAGCACUCUGGGAGCACCUGCGGCCGUUGCUGUCGCGGUGAUGGUCACGAAAUACCUGUCACCAGGGCCCCUGAGAGACGCUUACCUUGCACUUGCCUGACUUCGAAACGGUCAUCUGUUGGCAGGGCUGCUCCCACACCUGGGGACAGUGCAGAGAGCCCGGAGCAGUGGGGGAGGGGUACAGCCCGAGGUCAGCGGACCACCCACCCCCAGGCGUGGGAGGCCACAACCAGACGCGCCCCAGCCUCGCGGAGUCUCACGCCGUUGGUCCGCGUGCACUGCGUUUCUCCUGGGGCCUUGCAGCGUGGGCGUGACCUCUGCUUGUGAACGGACACCUGCGCGUGCUUUUCUCCGUGAAGCUCCCGGCAGCCAGAGCUGCUGGGAAGAGCAAAGAGGCCCAGAAAUCACGCGGCUGUUGGAGGAGUGACGUCGUUUAAGUGACGCUUGGGACUUCCUCUGCCUGGUCGGUGUCACUGGGCAGCCUCAAGGCAGGGACAGCCACAGUCACGUCACAACCGGGAGGAAGGCACAGGGCUGGGGGCCCAGGGAGCGGCAAAGCCGGGAGCCUGUCGGCACUGGCUCUGCCACCCGCUGGCUGUGACCCCAGGAGGGCUGGCUAAGCCCUCUGAGCCUCGGUUCUUCUGGAAAAUGGGGCUCGUGGGCCCCCUGAGAGGUUUGUGAGGCUCAGAAGGAUGAUGUGCUCGAGGGCCUGGGCGUCCGCAGCCGCAUUCGCCAACGUCACCGCGCUCGCUCCCCUGUGAGUGUGGGUGAGGAGGUUUCAUCAAAGAUGCCACCCGCUCGAGAGCCACGGGCCACCUUCUGAUGGGACGUCGGUGGAUUUACUGCUGAGGAGCUGGGACCGCCCCUCGGCAAGGAGCGUCUACACACACAACCCGCCUCAGAUCUGGAAUCGCAGCCUCCCCCAGCCUGUUUCUCUAUCUCCCAAGACACCUGCGCCUCUGUUUUCCUGAACAAUGGGCUGUGAAUUCGGCCCUGCACCUGGAGACGCCCCCCUUACGUGGGCUGAGAACCUCGGAGACUUAAGCCUCGUGACACCCCCUGGGGCGUGGGCGCCACGGAUGAGCCCUGCUGCGCCCAUCAGCGCCCGUGCGCGCAGGUGCCGGAACCAGAAAUUAGGACUAGGAAGCAAGGGUUUAUCAAGGCCAUCGGGGGGAUGGGGGGUCUGCCUGGAAAAUGCAGGUCACUCAGCCCAGGCUGCACAGUGUGGCCGCUUCCGCUGCUGCUUCCUGGACAGAAAAUGGCCUUGGGUGACACAGAGUCAGCGCCGGUGUUGGCAGGCCCCCGGUUCAUUUAGAAGGAAACCAGGGGCGGGCAGCUUUCUCGUGCCCCACCGUCAGCGACACGCGGGGCGGAAAGUCCUCGGUUUUGCUUUGCGAGGGGGGUUGUAACACCCCUGAGGCCGUGUUUUCUCCGAGGAGACGUGGCUAAAGGAAGGCGACGCCCGCGUGACAACAGAUAUUCUUAUUUAGGGAGAACCGAGCAGGCGCUUCAGAGAGUUCCCGGCGCUCCCCGUGCCGGCGCGUCCCCGCUACGGACACCUUGGUGAGCGGGAGCUGGUGAAGCUGCGCCCACACGGCACCCACCCCCCGCCAGGGCCCUCAGUCUGCCCGAGGGCUCGCUCUCGUGCUGGACCCGCUGUGGGUUUGGACGGGGCACAGGGGCGUGUGUCCUCCGUGACGGUGGCACCGCGUCCCACUGCCCGAGCCCCGCGCUCUGCCUGUUCAUCCUCCCUCAACCCGCCGCCCACGCUCCUACUGUCGCCAUGCUUUCGACUUUUCCAGAAGGUCUUGUGGUUGGACUUGCACAGUCUGCAGCCUUUUCAGACGGACCCCCUCCCUGUGGGUGGGUGUAGGCCCCCCUCCCUGUGGGUGGGUGUGCGUGUAGGGACCCCCCCCUCCCCGUGGGCGUAUGUUUACGUUUCCCCCACGUCUCGCCGUGAUGGGGAGCUCCUUGGGUAUCGGUUUGGGAGCUACAAGGGAACUGGAAUGUGUGCGUUUAUCCUACUACUAUUUCCUGGGUGCCAGAGGGCCCUGGUAGUAGGUUCUGGAAUUCACAGUGGGGAGCUCAGGCUCCGCGUCCACCAGCCCAGCUUACUUGGCCCAAGUGGUUGGAGCCACAUGAGCAAGGCGGUGGCCUUGGGGGUCUGAAGGAUGGCCCCCAGCAUCCUGGGGGGCUGGGCAGGGGAGGGCGUCCCUGCACAUGGGUGGAGGGCAGCGAGCGGGGUGCAGGACGGGGUGCAACAGGCCUGGGUGCUGAGCCACUGACCGCGAGGAGGGGGACCAAGGGGCGCUUCAGGCGGCCCCCAGUGGGGACACGCACCACACAGGAUCCCUCCGGGCCCACUUCUCCCACGAAGGUGAGGCUUUCCUGGGGGUGGAGGCAAGAGUGCACGUGCAGUGUGUGCGCAGGAAACCCGGGCGUGUGUGAGGGAGGGGACGUGCACCCACCCAGCCGGAGGGGGCAGCGGCCGGAAGGGAGGGCAGGGAGGGGCCCCUCUUGGUCUGAGGUUUCCCGCGGAGGCGGAGCUGGCCCUGGUUCUCAGCAGGGCCCUGAGGGGACCCGGGUAGAGGGCAUGUGACACGGACUGUGUUCUGCUGAAGGCGGGGCCUCCCUGGGAGGAAGGGUCCCAGCGGGAUUGAGCCCACACCAGGUUAAGUCUAAAAGCCCAGCUGGGGGGCCAGCAGGGUUGGUCCCCGUGGACACGUCCCCGGAGCGGCAGGCCUCCCAGGCCUCGGGGGCGACAGUGGAGCCGCCCUGUGCCCAUGGCACCAAGACACCCACCGCAGCAGAGCAAGCCGGUCCUAGGCACUGGCUGGUGGGUCCACUCCUGGGUUUUGCGUGCCAGCCGCCGCACGAGGGGUGCCCAACCUCCCAGCUUAUGCCUUUGGGGCUCAGCCCAAGUCCUGCCCAUGGAGAGGGUCAGUGGUGCCCCACCCUUUGCUGGAAAUGGAGCUUUUCCAAAUUCCAUGAACAAGGCCACCUGGGGAAGCAGAGCUGAGCAAAGCAAGAGCAGGAGAAAACAGGAAAAUGCCGCCAGCCACGGUCGGGGCUCCGUCCUGGCCCUGAUAGCGCCUCCCAGGUCCAGGCACACCCAGGGACCCGCCAGUGGCCCUGCUCAGGCUGACUGCCCGGGGCCGGCCUGGCGGGCAGGGCAGGAGAUGUUGGCUCGGAGAGCACAGCAACCUGGGGGCUGCGAAGAGCCCCUCCCCAGGGGGUCGCUCCGGCUGGACCACCAUGCCAGGCCCAGGAUGGUACAACCCGCCCACCGUCCGUCUGCCUCUGUGACCACAGGCUCCGGCUCUUUGAACAGUGUCCACGUGAAGGGGCAGGCAGUUCCCCGUCACACCGCCCUUGGUCACCCCUGAAGUGAACAAAGCUCUGGGAAGAGAGGGAUCAGCAGCGAGGUCAAGCCGGGAAGGCCCCUCGGCGGAGGCGCGUGCGGGGUGGAGGGUGAUGCGGGGUGCUUGGGCGCCAAGGCUUAGCACCUGGAGUGCUUGGGGCUGAGCUAUGGGGGGAGUCAGGGUACAAGUGAGCUUGGGGAUGUGAGGGUGAGAACAGCGGGGGAGUCCCCUCCGGGGCACCUAGAGGGCAUCGGCUUUGGGGCCACAGGGCCCGGCAGACACCCCUCUCCGACCGUGUGCCCGUCAGUGGAGCAGCGGAGGUCGGGGCAGGGAGGUGGGCUCUCGGUGGCCACCUGACCCUUCUCCCCUGGGCUUCAGCUACAUCUGCGGAGGGCAGGCAUCACCUCGUGCCAUGGGCUCCUCCCUAACGUCCAGGUCCCCUCCAGGGGACAGGUCCCGCUUCAGAGAAUCAAGGGAAAACAGGCGUCCCCACCAGGGCCCUGCACAGAGGGACCCCCUCCAGGGCCCCCUCACAAGGCCUCCUCUCCUACCUUGACCUUGACCUGAAGCAUGAGCUGUCCCCGAGCCCUCUGACCUCCUCCCAGCACCUGCACGGUGCCUGGAACACGGAGACGCCAGGAGUGUGGGGCGCUGGCUGGAAGGAGGAGGAGGCAGGCUCUGGGGGUGGACUCUUUCUUCCUCAGCACCCCCCGCCCCCCAGCUACGAGCUCCCUCUGGCUCAUUUGAUCUUUCUCAGCUCAGCUAACAAGAAAAGCAGUAAAAGGGGGUGUUUCUUAACCACGGUGGGAGUCUCCAGCAGGCAGACUCAGGGAGACACGGUCCACUGCCCUGUAAAUGUCAGCAGGCUGCUGCCGAUGGGGAGGUGGGCCUGCGUGUCACUCAGUCCUGUCCCC
rnacentral:lncRNA from 1 species